GACGAACGCUGGCGGCGUGCCUAACACAUGCAAGUCGAGCGAUGAACCCUUCGGGGGGAUUAGCGGCGGACGGGUGAGUAACACGUGGGUAACCUGCCUCAAAGAGGGGGAUAGCCUCCCGAAAGGGAGAUUAAUACCGCAUAACAUCAAAUUAUCGCACGGUAGUUUGAUCAAAGGAGUAAUCCGCUUUGAGAUGGACCCGCGGCGCAUUAGCUAGUUGGUGAGGUAACGGCUCACCAAGGCGACGAUGCGUAGCCGACCUGAGAGGGUGAUCGGCCACAUUGGAACUGAGACACGGUCCAGACUCCUACGGGAGGCAGCAGUGGGGAAUAUUGCACAAUGGGCGAAAGCCUGAUGCAGCAACGCCGCGUGAGUGAUGAAGGCCUUCGGGUUGUAAAGCUCUGUCUUCUGGGACGAUAAUGACGGUACCAGAGGAGGAAGCCACGGCUAACUACGUGCCAGCCGCCGCAGUAACAC
rnacentral:rRNA from 1 species